CCUACGGGUGGCAGCAGUGGGGAAUAUUGCGCAAUGGGCGGAAGCCUGACGCAGCGACGCCGCGUGGGGGAUGACGGCCUUCGGGUUGUAAACCUCUUUCGACCUUGACGCGGUAGGGGUAGAAGAAGCACCGGCCAACUACGUGCCAGCAGCCGCGGUAAUACGUAGGGUGCGAGCGUUGUCCGGAAUUAUUGGGCGUAAAGAGCUCGUAGGCGGUCUGUCGCGUCGGUCGUGAAAACCUGCAGCUUAACUGUGGGCUUGCGGUCGAUACGGGCAGACUGGAGUUCGGCAGGGGAGACUGGAAUUCCUGGUGUAGCGGUGAAAUGCGCAGAUAUCAGGAGGAACACCGGUGGCGAAGGCGGGUCUCUGGGCCGAACUGACGCUGAGGAGCGAAAGCGUGGGGAGCGAACAGGAUUAGAUACCCUUGUAGUC
rnacentral:rRNA from 1 species